rnacentral:rRNA from 1 species
UACGGGGGGGGGCAAGCGUUGUUCGGAAUUACUGGGCGUAAAGGGCUCGUAGGCGGCCAACUAAGUCAGACGUGAAAUCCCUCGGCUUAACCGGGGAACUGCAUCUGAUACUGGAUGGCUUGAGUUCGGGAGAGGGAUGUGGAAUUCCAGGUGUAGCGGUGAAAUGCGUAGAUAUCUGGAGGAACACCGGUGGCGAAGGCGGCAUCCUGGACCGACACUGGACGCUGAGACGCGAAAGCGUGGGGAGCAAACAGG